AGAAGACCAGGAAAAGAUAAGGAUAAAGAAUGUCAUAUAUCUCAGGAGCUAGAUCACUUCCCGAUGAACAAGUAAGAAUUGCCUCAACAAAAAUGGAUGGAAUUGGACCGAAAAAAGCCAUUCAGCUUUGUUAUCGAUUAUAGGAAUAUGAGAUGGACGAAGAUGAGGACAUUGCUUUUGAUCAUGAUGAUGCACAUGCAUUAG
rnacentral:rRNA from 1 species